UUAUCAGCCUUGUUACAAGAUUGUGCUAACAAGUUUGUUACAGCCAUGAUAUAACAAGGAUGUUACAAGGUUGUAACAAUCUUGUUAUAUCAAGCAUGUCACAGACUUGUCAGAACAACCUUGCAACAAGUCUGAUAA